GGGCGCGCUCUGCGCGCACCGGCGGACGGCUCAGUAACACGUCGGUAACCUACCCUCGGGAGGGGGAUAACCCCGGGAAACUGGGGCUAAUCCCCCAUAGGCCUAGGGUACUGGAAGGUCCCUAGGCCGAAAGGGCGUAAGCCGCCCGAGGAUGGGCCGGCGGCCGAUUAGGUAGUUGGUGGGGUAACGGCCCACCAAGCCGAAGAUCGGUACGGGCCAUGAGAGUGGGAGCCCGGAGAUGGACACUGAGACACGGGUCCAGGCCCUACGGGGCGCAGCAGGCGCGAAACCUCCGCAAUGCGGGCAACCGCGACGGGGGGACCCCCAGUGCCGUGGCAAAGCCACGGCUUUUCCGGAGUGUAAAAAGCUCCGGGAAUAAGGGCUGGGCAAGGCCGGUGGCAGCCGCCGCGGUAAUACCGGCGGCCCAAGUGGUGGCCGCUAUUAUUGGGCCUAAAG
rnacentral:rRNA from 1 species